rnacentral:rRNA from 1 species
GACGAACGCUGGCGGCGUGCCUAAUACAUGCAAGUAGAACGCUGAAGGAGGAGAUUGCUCUUCUGGAUGAGUUGCGAACGGGUGAGUAACGCGUAGGUAACCUGCCUGGUAGCGGGGGAUAACUAUUGGAAACGAUAGCUAAUACCGCAUAAGAGUAGAUGUUGCAUGACAUUUACUUAAAAGGUGCAAUUGCAUCACUACCAGAUGGACCUGCGUUGUAUUAGCUAGUUGGUGGGGUAACGGCUUACCAAGGCGACGAUACAUAGCCGACCUGAGAGGGUGAUCGGCCACACUGGGACUGAGACACGGCCCAGACUCCUACGGGAGGCAGCAGUAGGGGAUCUUCGGCAAUGGACGGAAGUCUGACCGAGCAACGCCGCGUGAGUGAAGGAGGUUUUCGGAUCGUAAAGCUCUGUUGUAAGAGAAGAACGAGUGUGAGAGUGGAAAGUUCACACUGUGACGGUAUCUUACCAGAAAGGGACGGCUAACUACGUG